UAUAAUCUAGUGGACGGUUCUUCAAAAACAGCCAGUCAACAACCUCGGUAGCUUGCUAGUCAACAUAGCCGAAAGAUUCCAGCUAUUUAUACGCUUUCGGUGUAUAUUUGCUACUGUGUUUUAGACACACUUCUGUCGUAUCUACUUGUUAACCUAUUUAAUUUAAUAUUACGUUAUUUUGUAUUAGUCAGCUAUAGUAGCUGGCUGGGUAAGUUAGCACUAGCCUAGUCGCUAAUGAUAGCUAGCUAGCUAACAUCCCCGAACAUGAGCUCCCUAAGCUUCUCCCCUCCUGUUAAAGAAGAGGAGGUCUACUGGACGGAGAAAGAAGCUCUGGGGCUGAACAUUGUCGUGAAAGAGGAGAAGGAAGAAGAGGAUGUCACAGUAAAACAAGAAGUAGAGGGUGAGACUGUUACGGUGAAAGAAGAAGAGGAAGACGCCUUCAGAGUGAAAGAGGAGGAGGAGGACCUUACUGUGAAAGAAGAGGAUGCCGUUUUUGGAGUGAAGAAGGAAGGGGCGAUUACUGUCACAUUGAAAGAUGAAGAGGUGGAGAUGGGAGAUCUGAUUAACAGCAGAGAGAAACCAGACUCUGACAACGGGAAGAGUCCUUCAGGGGAACCAGACCCAGAGACAUCCAAACCAGCGAGACAACACCACUGCUCCCACUGUGAAAAGAGCUUUUGCUGGUCAGGGAACCUAAAACUGCAUGAGAGGACACACACAGGAGAAAAGCCUUUCCAAUGUUCCCAGUGUGGAAAGAGUUUUACCAUGUUAGCUAACCUGAAAAGGCAUGAGAGAAUACACACAGGAGAAAAGCCUUAUCACUGUUCCCACUGUGGAAUGAGUUUUACGCAGACAGGGCACCUAAAAGCUCAUGAGAGAAUACACACAGGAGAAAAGCCUUUCCAAUGUUCCCAGUGUGGAAAAAGUUUUACUAAGAAAGGGCAAUUAAAAGAGCAUGAGAGAAUACACAAAGGAGAAAAGCCUUACCAAUGUUCCCAUUGUGGAAAGAGUUUUACUCUAAUAGGAAACCUAAAAAAGCAUGCGAGACUACACACCGGAGAAAUGCCUUUCCAAUGUUCCCAGUGUGAAAAGAGUUUUGCCGUGUUAGCUAACCUGAAAAGGCAUGAGAGAAUACACACAGGAGAAAAGCCUUACCACUGUUCCCACUGUGAAAAGAGGUUUAUUCAGUUCGGGGACCUAAAAGCUCACGAGAGAAUACACACAGGAGAAAAGCCUUAUCACUGUUCCCACUGUGAAAAGAGUUUUAUUCAUUUAGGGUACCUAAAAGCUCAUGAGAGGACACACACAGGAGAAAAGCCUUUCCAAUGUUCCCAGUGUGGAAAGAGUUUUACCAUUUUAGCUAACCUGAAAAGGCAUGAGAGAAUACACACUGGAGAAAAGCCUUAUCACUGUUCCCACUGUGGAAUGAGUUUUACUCAGACAGGGCACCUAAAAGCUCAUGAGAGGAUACACACAGGAGAAAAGCCUUUCCAUUGUUCCCAGUGUGGAAAGAGGUUUACUAAGAAAGGGCCGUUAAAAGAGCAUGAGAGGAUACACACAGGAGAAAAGCCUUUCCAAUGCUCCCAGUGUGGAAAGAGUUUUACCUGGUUAAGGAGCCUGAAGGAGCAUAAAAAGACACACACCAAAAACACCCUACCACUGCUCUCCCUCUGUGUGGAAGGACAUUUUCCCAGUCACAGAACCUGAAAUCGCAUAAGACAAUAAAGGUGCUGUGUUCUGACUUAUUAUUUAUUAUUUUGACUGAGAAUUUGUGUUUUUGUUUAUGCCACAUGAAAUCAUAUUGUUUAUGAUUAUACCUGUCUAUAUAAGGUCCCACAGUUGACAAUGCACGUCAGAGCAAACACCAAGCAAUGAGGUCAAAGAAAUUGUCCAUAGAGCUCCGAGACAGGAUUGUGUCGAGGUACAGAUCUGGGGAAGGGUACCAAAGAAUGUCUGUAGCAUUGGAGGUCCCCAAGAACACAGUGGUCACCAUCAUUCUUUGAUUGAAGAAGUUUGGAACUACCAAAACUCUUCCAAGAGCUGGCCACCCGGCCAAACUGAGCAAUUGGUAGAGAAGGGCCUUGGUCAGGGAGGUGACCAAGAACCCGAUGGUCACUCUGAUAGAGCUACAGAGUUCCUCUGUGGGGAUGGGAGAACCUUCCAGAAGGACAACCAUCUCUGUAGCACUCCACCAAUCAGGCCUUUAUGGUAGGGUGGCCAGACGGAAGCCACUCCUCAGUAAAAGGCACAUUACAGCCCGCUGGUAGUUUGACAAAAAGACACCUAAAGACUCUCAGACCAUGAGAAACAAGAUUCCCUGGUCUGAUGAAACCAAUAUGGAACUCUUUGGCCUGGAUGCCUAAGCGUCACAUCUGGCGUAAACCUGGCACAGCAUCAGGCUGUGACAAUGUUUUUCAGCGGCAGGAACUGGGAUACUAGUCAGGAUCGAGGGAAAGAUGUACGGAGCAAAGUGCAGAGAGCUCUUUGAUGAAAACCUGCUCCAGAGCCCUCAGGACCUCAGACUGGGGGCGAAGGUUCACCUUCCAACAGGACAACGACCCUAAGCACACAUCCAAGACAGCGUAGUAGUGGCUUUGGGACAAGUCUCUGAAUAACCUUGUGGACCAGCCAGAGCCCGGACUUGAACCCAAUCUAACACCUCUGGUGAGACCUGAAAAUAGCUGUGUAGCAAAGCUCCACAUCCAAUCUGACAGAGUUUGAGAGAAAAAUGGUAGAAACUCCCCAAAUACAGGUGUGCCAAGUUUGUAGUGUCAUACCCAUGAAGACUGGAGGCUGUAAUCGCUGCCAAACGUGUUUUCAACAAAGUACGUAGUAAACGGUCUGAAUACUUAUGUAGAUUUUUCAGUUUAUUAUUUCAAUAAAUUAGCAAAUAAAUAUAUAUAAUGUUUUUAGGAGGAGUAUAGACCUAGUCUGUUCAUUAAAUACAUCUACAUGAUGCAUUGUUACACCAUGUAGGAGCAGUAUAGACCUAGUCUGUUCAUUAUAUACAUCUACAUGAUGUAUUGGUACACCAUGUAGGAGCAGUAUAGACCUAGUCUAUUCAUUAUAUAUAUUUACGUGAUGUAUUGUUACACCAUGUAGGAGCAGUAUAGACCUAGUCUGUUCAUUAUAUACAUCUACAUGAUGUAUUGUUACACCUUGUAGGAGCAGUAUAGACCUAGUCUGUUCAUUAUAUACAUCUACAUGAUGUAUUGUUACACCAACAAAAUAAAGGGAAGUUUUAUUAUUUUAUAGUAAUACAAAACUUAGAGAAAGAGAUUUAGUUUAACACGUAAUUCUCAAAAGGUAAGGGUCUGAAUUAUUGCCACCCAUGUUGAUUUUGUUCCCAAUUUACAAUUUCUUUGUUGGUGUGUCUUGCUGGAAGAUCCACUUAUGGCCAAGUUUCAGCCUCCUAACAGAGGUAACCAGGUUUUGGGCUAAAAUAUCCUGGUAGUGGGUAAAGUUUAUUUAUUUUAUACAGUCAAUUUUGCUAAUCUUUAUCAAGGGUAUCAAUAACUAGGUGCUUAUUUUGAUAUCUAGUUAUUUGACUGAAUCAGAAAAACAGAUGUGGAGUAGAUGUAGAGUUUGUUAUAAAUUCUCAUUGAAAAAAUCUGAACUAAUCAAACAACACUUGUUGCUCUUUGUACGUGUUGAUAUAAUAUUCUUAUUUAAUGCAGAGGAAAAAAACGUUCCCUAAACUGCUUUAUAAUAUUAUAAUUCAAUGAUGGAAAAUAAAAGUUUUCCCUCAACUGUGUUUACUCACUCCAGGCAGCACAUGGCGAUAUGUGUCUUUCAGGCGAUGUUUCUAGUGUGACGUAUAAUCUAGUGGAUGGAACGCUUCUUCAACACCUGCAGCCACCCCGGUAGCUGGCUAGCCAACAAAGUCGGAACAUUCAAGUUCUUUAGACAAUUUCGUGGUUCAUUUUCCACUAUGAUUUAAACAUACUUAUGUGGAAACAACUAGCUACCCCAUUUAAUUUAAUAUUUACGUUGUUAGUCAACUAGCUGGCUGGUUAAGUUAACACUAGUCUAGUCGCUAAUGCUAACUAGAUAUUAUCUCCGACCAUGAGUUCACUAAACUACUCUUCUCCUGCUAAAGAAGAGGGGGUCUCGUGAAAGAGGAGGAGGAGGCUGUUACAAUACAAAAACAAGGAGAGGGUGAGGCUGUUACGGUGAAAGAAGAAGAGAAAGAUGCCUUCAGAGUGAAAGAGGAGGAGGAGGAUGUUACUGUGAAAGAAGAGGAGGAAGAUGCAAUUUUUGGAGUGGAUGAUGAAGUGAAAGAAGAUGAAGACGUUUUUGGAAUGAAGAAUGAAGAGGGGGAGAUUACUGUCACAUUAGAGGAGGACGAAGAAGUGAAGACUGGAGAACUGAUUAACACCAGUAAAUACAGAGAGAGACGGGACUACCGUGGAUCCUCUGGGGAGCCUCAACAACAUCAUGACUGAUGAGGCAGAGAAGAGUCUCUACAUCAGAACACCUCAAGAAACACCAGUAGAGACCCACAGGGAAGAAAUCUCAUUGCUGCUCUGACUGUGGGAAACGUUGCAAAUAUUCAUCAGACCUUAAAAUACACCAGAGAACACACACAGGAGAGAAAGUUUUUAGCUGUGAUCAAUGUGGGAAAAGUUUUAUUGCAUCUAGAGAACUGAAUAUACACCAGAGAACACACAGGAGAGAAAUCUUAUGGCUGUGAUCAAUGUGGGGAAAGUUUUUCUACAUCUAGCUAUCUGACUGUAGACCAGCGGAGACACACAGGAGAGACAUCUUAUACUUGUGAUCAAUGUGGGAAGAGUUUUAUUACAUCUAGCCAUCUGACUAUACACCAGCGAGUACACACAGUAGAGAAAUUUCAUCACUGUUCAGAUUGUGGGAAAAGCUUUUCAACAUCAUAGGCUUUGAAGCUGCACCAGAGAACACACACAGGAGAGAAAUCUUAUAGCUGUGUUCAAUGUGGGAAGAGAUACUCUGAUAAAAGAUAUCUGAUCAAACAUCAGAAAAUACAUACAUGAAGGAGUUGUUUCAUGAUAUCAAUGAAAUCAUGUCACAAUGUAGAAUGUUUUUAACAUUGGAGCAGGAGUAUUUUAAGGAAUUUCACAAUGUAGAACCCUAAACGUUUGCCCCGUUUAAUUGAUUUCAGCAUGAUUUGGAUAUUAGCCGUGGGAAAAAUACAGGCUCUGAAUUGAAAGAGUACUGUUUGAGAUUUAACAAAAAGUGACGAACAAAAAAAGAGCUGUGUUACACUUAUCACGUUGGUGACCCACUUGAAUCAAAAUGCAACACUUCAAAAUGUAGCUAGCUGUUUAAUACAAAUUGUCCUCUAACCAGUGAUGUACACAUUAUUCACAGAUUCCGUGUGGUUUUUGAGCUGUUCGUUUUAACAGGAUGUGCAACCUCAUCUCCCUCCUCUCGCACAAUUGAUUUCAGCAUGAUUUCAGCAUGAUAUCGAUGAGUGAUGACAAAGAAGUGUUGCGUUCCUUUGUUUAGCGACCCCUACAUUUAAAUGCAUCACUCAAAAAUGUAGCUGACUGUCUUCUGCAGGUUGUUCUCUAACCAGUGAGAUAAAAGAUAUCUCCCAUUUGAUGUUUUUUUAGUUGUGUUAGUUUCAACCUGAUUUAACCCCCUAAUAGAUAUCAGUGAUUUAUUGCUACUAGUCAAAACAACAGCGUUUCUGGUGCUUGUGCAGUUUAUAAGGUGCUUGUUUUAAUAAAUACAUUUUAUGUUUUCAAUAUAUCACAAACUGUUUCUGCAUUUGUGCUAUUGAUUUGGACAUGUUAAAACUGUGACAUUGGGGAUAUCCCACCUAGCAAAAUGUCGUUGAAAAUAAGACUAUGCCCGACGUACAAUAUGAGUUUGGUUUUAGUUGAAAGUAAAAGUAAAAGUUGAAAAGAAAACAAUUUAAUUUCAACAUACUUGCAGCCUAUACACAUGGACGCAGUAUAAUAAAUUGAGUCUAUAAUCAAUUUUAGGGAUAGGAGUCCCGCUAGUUAGUUUAAUAUUGGAUACGCUAGAGGGACAAAUUCCUGUUGAAAUAAAUAAUUAUAAAUGUUAUGUAUUUUAAUAAUUGAUGUGUCUUAUAUCGGCUGAAAGCUUAAAUGUUUGUUAAUUUAACGGCACUGUCUGGUUUACAGUAGCUAUUACAGCAAACAUGCCAUGUGAUUGUUUGAGGACGGCGUCCCACAUCAAAAUAUUUUUCCACCAGCACAGGUUUCAUACAUUCACAAUUAACGAUAAAAUAUUCAAUUACUAUUUGAAAAUCUUCCUCUGAUUUGUCAUCCAAAGGGUCCCAGCUAUAACAUGUAGUGUCGUUUUGUUAGAUAAAAUCCUUCUUUAUACACCAUAAGGUCUGUUUAGUUGGCACCAUCGAUUUGAGUAAUCCAGUCGUUCAACAUGCAUAGAAAGGAAUCCGAAAAUAUACCCCUAAACUUUGUUUCAACAAGUCAAAAUCAUUUUCUAUUCACUCCUCAGAUACCCUAAAAUGUAAUCAAAAUAUAAUAUUUCUUUCAGAAAGAAGUAUGUUCAAAAGGAAACCGAUUUUAGCAGGUGCGUAAUGUCCUUAUGGCGUGCGCAAACACGAAUUUCCAAGAUUGUCCCUCUACUAAAACAGAUUUUUCUUAAUCGUUUUUGAAGUUACAAGCCUGAAACCUUGAACAUAGACUGCUGACACCCUGUGGAAGCCAUAGGAAUUGCAUCCAGGGAGCAUAUUUUCAAUAUGACCUUUUCUCGCACUGUCCUCAAACAAUCGCAUGGUAUGCUUUCGCUGUAAAGCCUAUUGUAAAUCGGACAAUGCAGUUAGAUUAACAAUAAUUUAAGCUUUUAAACGAUAUAAGAUACUUGUAUGUUCAUAAAUGUUUAAUAUUACGGUUAUUUAUUUGAAUUGCGCGCCCUCCAAUUUCACCGGAAGUGGUCGACUGGUGUCCCACUAGCGGAACGCCUAGCCUUAAUAAGGGGGAAGGUGUUACCGGCUUUGGUUCUUCCAUUUAUGUUUUUUUGCUGGGGAAUGUAACUACAAACAAUGUAGUAAAACAAGCUCAUAUUUUGGGUUGGAUGUUGCAUCCAAUUGUUCAUAUUUUAAUCAAUGGCAUUUCCUUAGAAUGUUCAUCAGUUGUUAAUCUUCUGUUUUUUAUCCUCUUCUGUUUAUUGUGGUAAAUAUUUGUUUAUUUUCAUUGUUUAUUUGUUUUUUCCUGUGAAGCCAUUGUGUUGCAUCCAUGUCUGAAAUGAUGUGCUGUAUAAAUAAAGCUUGAUUUGAUUUGAA